AACGCGUAUGCAACCUACCUUUAACAGAGGGAUAGCCCAGAGAAAUUUGGAUUAAUACCUCAUAAUAUUUACACAACACAUGUUGUGAUUCUUAAAGAUUUAUCGGUUAAAGAUGGGCAUGCGUGACAUUAGCUAGAUGGUGAGGUAACGGCUCACCAUGGCGACGAUGUCUAGGGGUUCUGAGAGGAAGAUCCCCCACACUGGUACUGAGACACGGACCAGACUCCUACGGGAGGCAGCAGUGAGGAAUAUUGGUCAAUGGACGCAAGUCUGAACCAGCCAUGCCGCGUGAAGGAUGACUGCCCUAUGGGUUGUAAACUUCUUUUAUAUAGGAAGAAACCUCUCUACGUGUAGAGAGCUGACGGUACUAUACGAAUAAGGACCGGCUAACUCCGUGCCAGCAGCCGCGGUAAUACGGAGGGUCCAAGCGUUAUCUGGAUUUAUUGGGUUUAAAGGGUCCGUAGGCGGGGUUUUAAGUCAGUGGUGAAAGCCUACAGCUCAACUGUAGAACUGCCAUUGAAACUGGAACUCCUGAAUGUGAUUGAGGUAGGCGGAAUAUGUCAUGUAGCGGUGAAAUGCUUAGAUAUGACAUAGAACACCG
rnacentral:rRNA from 1 species